CUCUCUACGAGAACUUUAAGCGCCCUCUGCUUGUCGAAUGUGUAAAAGAUGCACUCCACAGUGUGGCCUGCUUCGUGCGUUUCCAGGCGCUUUUACCACCUCCGCAUGAAAGCACUUGGCCGUAACCGCGAUGUCAACCCAGAACGCCCUGCAUCGAGCUGCGCUGGCUGUGCUGAUGCUGAGCCUUGCCGGAUGUAUCAGCGAAAAAGCGUGCAUUACCUCAGAUUGCUUUAUUGUUUGUAUACAUGAUGGAUUUAGAGGCGGCCGUUGUAUCUUAGGAACAUGCCAAUGCAAGCAGCCAGCAAACUGGCGACCAGAGUGGUAUGAGGACACGACGUCGACUGAAGGCAUGCAUUAGUUAACUUUCCGAUGAAAUUUUUCUGUCUAAUCACUAUCGGUUGUCAUAACUAUAUCAAAGUGCCUUUAAUAACAAUUACAGUGGGACUCCAACGCUGGAAAAUGUGGAUGUAGAGAAUUUUCAAAUAAAACAUACCUUGCAGAUGA